AGCGGCGAACGGGUGAGUAACACGUAGGUGAUCUGCCCAUCAGACGGGGACAACGAUUGGAAACGAUCGCUAAUACCGGAUAGGACGAAAGUUUAAAGGUGCUUCUGGCACCGCUGAUGGAUGAGCCUGCGGCGCAUUAGCUAGUUGGUAGGGUAAAGGCCUACCAAGGCGACGAUGCGUAGCCGACCUGAGAGGGUGAACGGCCACACUGGGACUGAGACACGGCCCAGACUCCUACGGGAGGCAGCAGUAGGGAAUCUUCGGCAAUGGGCGAAAGCCUGACCGAGCAACGCCGCGUGAAUGAUGAAGGCCUUCGGGUUGUAAAAUUCUGUUAUAAGGGAAGAACGACUUUAGUAGGAAAUGGCUAGAGUGUGACGGUACCUUAUGAGAAAGCCACGGCUAACUACGUGCCAGCAGCCGCGGUAAUACGUAGGUGGCGAGCGUUAUCCGGAAUUAUUGGGCGUAAAGAGCGCGCAGGUGGUUGAUUAAGUCUGAUGUGAAAGCCCACGGCUUAACCGUGGAGGGUCAUUGGAAGCUGGUCGACUUGAGUGCAGAAGAGGGAAGUGGAAUUCCACGUGUAGCGGUGAAAUGCGUAGAGAUAUGGAGGAACACCAGUGGCGAAGGCGGCUUCCUGGUCUGUAACUGACACUGAGGCGCGAAAGCGUGGGGAGCAAACAGGAUUAGAUACCCUGGUAGUCCACGCCGUAAACGAUGAGUGCUAAGUGU
rnacentral:rRNA from 1 species